GAGUGCUUGCACUCAAUUGGAAAGAGGAGUGGCGGACGGGUGAGUAACACGUGGGUAACCUACCCAUCAGAGGGGGAUAACACUUGGAAACAGGUGCUAAUACCGCAUAACAGUUUAUGCCGCAUGGCAUAAGAGUGAAAGGCGCUUUCGGGUGUCGCUGACGGAUGGACCCGCGGUGCAUUAGCUAGUUGGUGAGGUAACGGCUCACCAAGGCCACGAUGCAUAGCCGACCUGAGAGGGUGAUCGGCCACACUGGGACUGAGACACGGCCCAGACUCCUACGGGAGGCAGCAGUAGGGAAUCUUCGGCAAUGGACGAAAGUCUGACCGAGCAACGCCGCGUGAGUGAAGAAGGUUUUCGAUCGUAAAACUCUGUUGUUAGAGAAGAACAAGGACGUUAGUAACUGAACGUCCCCUGACGGUAUCUAACCAG
rnacentral:rRNA from 1 species